UACGUAGGGUGCAAGCGUUAAUCGGAAUUACUGGGCGUAAAGCGUGCGCAGGCGGUUAUUCAAGACAGAUGUGAAAUCCCCGGGCUCAACCUGGGAACUGCAUUUGUGACUGCAUGGCUAGAGUACGGUAGAGGGGGAUGGAAUUCCGCGUGUAGCAGUGAAAUGCGUAGAUAUGCGGAGGAACACCGAGGGCGAAGGCAAUCCCCUGGACCGGUACUGACGCUCAUGCACGAAAGCGUGGGGAGCAAACAGG
rnacentral:rRNA from 1 species